AUGCAGUCGAGCGACGCCCUCCUUUCGGGGAGGUGACGGAGCGGCGAACGGGUGAGUAACACGUGGGCAACCUGCCCCUAGCUCUGGGAUAACACCGGGAAACCGGUGCUAAUACCGGAUAUGACCUCGGAGGGCAUUUUCUGAGGUGGAAAGUUUUUCGGCUAGGGAUGGGCCCGCGGCCUAUCAGCUUGUUGGUGGGGUAAUGGCCUACCAAGGCGACGACGGGUAGCCGGCCUGAGAGGGCGACCGGCCACACUGGGACUGAGACACGGCCCAGACUCCUACGGGAGGCAGCAGUGGGGAAUAUUGCGCAAUGGGCGAAAGCCUGACGCAGCGACGCCGCGUGAGGGAUGAAGGCCUUCGGGUUGUAAACCUCUUUCAGCAGGGACGAAAACAGACGGUACCUGCAGAAGAAGCACCGGCCAACUACGUGCCAGCAGCCGCGGUAAUACGUAGGGUGCAAGCGUUGUCCGGAAUUAUUGGGCGUAAAGAGCUCGUAGGCGGUUUGUCGCGUCGGCUGUGAAAACUCGGGGCUCAACCCCGAGCCUGCAGUCGAUACGGGCAGACUAGAGUGCUGUAGGGGAGACUGGAAUUCCUGGUGUAGCGGUGAAAUGCGCAGAUAUCAGGAGGAACACCGGUGGCGAAGGCGGGUCUCUGGGCAGUAACUGACGCUGAGGAGCGAAAGCGUGGGGAGCAAACA
rnacentral:rRNA from 1 species